CACAAAUCAAGGUAUUGGCGUGCCUCAAUUUGAAGACAUGGUUAAGAUGAAAACCAGCCAUGUAAUUUUAAUUGAGCCGCGUCAAUAUCUCAUCUUGCACU
rnacentral:pre_miRNA from 2 species